rnacentral:rRNA from 1 species
CUGGUUGAUCCUGCCAGACCCGACUGCUAUCAGAGUGAGAUUAAGCCAUGCGAGUCAACGUAGAAAUACGUGGCAAACGGCUCAGUAACACGUAGUCAACAUGCCCAGGGGACGUGGCUAACCUCGGGAAACUGAGGAUAAACCGCGAUAGGCCAUGAUUUCUGGAAUGGUUCAUGGCCGAAAUCUAUAUGGCCCCUGGAUUGGACUGCGGCCGAUCAGGCUGUUGGUGUGGUAAUGGCCCACCAAACCUGUAACCGGUACGGGCUCUGAGAGGAGGAGCCCGGAGAUGGGCACUGAGACAAGGGCCCAGGCCCUAUGGGGCGCAGCAGGCGCGAAAUCUCUGCAAUAGGCGAAAGCUUGACAGGGUUACUCUGAGUGAUUCCCGCUAAGGGGAUCUUUUGGCACCUUUAAAAAUGGUGCAGAAUAAGGGGUGGGCAAGUCUGGUGUCAGCCGCCGCGGUAAUACCAGCACCCCGAGUGGUCGGGACGAUUAUUGGGCCUAAAGCAUCCGUAGCCGGUACUGCGAGUCUUCCGUUAAAUCCACCUGCUUAACAGUUGGGCUGCGGGGGAUACUACAGCGCUAGGAGGCGGGAGAGGCAAGCGGUACACAAUGGGUAGGGGUAAAAUCCGCUGAUCCAUUGAAGACCACCAGUGGCGAAGGCGGCUUGCCAGAACGCGCUCGACGGUGAGGGAUGAAAGCUGGGGGAGCAAACCGGAUUAGAUACCCGGGUAGUCCCAGCUGUAAACGA